rnacentral:rRNA from 1 species
UGGGGGAUAUUGCACAAUGGGCGAAAGCCUGAUGCAGCGACGCCGCGUGGGGGAUGAAGGCCUUCGGGUUGUAAACUUCUUUUGCUCUGAACAAGGCAUGCCUUUGGGGUGUGUUGAGUGUAGGGGUUGAUUAGCGCCGGCUAACUACGUGCCAGCAGCCGCGGUAAUACGUAGGGCGCGAGCGUUGUCCGGAAUUAUUGGGCGUAAAGGGCUUGAAGGUGGCUGGUUGCGUCUGUCGUGAAAGCUCAUGGCUUAACUGUGGGUUUGCGGUGGGUACGGGCUGGCUUGAGUGCAGUAGGGGAGGCUGGAAUUCCUGGUGGAGCGGUGGAAUGCGCAGAUAUCAGGAGGAAUACCGGUGGCGAAGGCGGGUCUCUGGGCUGUUACUGACGCUGAGGAGCGAAAGCGUGGGGAGCGAACAGG